rnacentral:lncRNA from 1 species
ACGGGCGGGGCAUGAUGGGUAACAGGACCGGUGGGGUCCCCAGGAAGUCCUAGAGGGGGUCGGGGUUUGGGUGGACAAGCUUUCCUCGUCCUCUCCCGACAGAGCUGACGUGUCCUGGGUUCCACCGGGAGCGGGCAUUUCCACCGGACGGGAGGGUUCGGGGUGUCCGGGGCUGGGGAAUACGUAGGGGUUGCCGCGCGGUGUGGGGAGUUGGGGCGUGUGGCUGCAGUCCCGGGAGUUCUUGGAGGGGGUCGGCCCACCGAGCUUCCGGACCGGCUGAUCUGCCCGUAGCUUGCCGGAGGGAGGGCGGAGCCUGACUCUCCGUCCCUUCUCCCAUCCCCUCCAGUGGUGGGUACGGGCACCUCGCUGGCGCUCUCCUCCCUCCUGUCCCUGCUGCUCUUUGCUGGGAUGCAGAUGUACAGCCGUCAGCUGGCCUCCACCGAGUGGCUCACCAUCCAGGGCGGCCUGCUUGGUUCGGGUCUCUUCGUGUUCUCGCUCACUGCCUUCAAUAAUCUGGAGAAUCUUGUCUUUGGCAAAGGAUUCCAAGCAAAGAUCUUCCCUGAGAUUCUCCUGUGCCUCCUGUUGGCUCUCUUUGCAUCUGGCCUCAUCCACCGAGUCUGUGUCACCACCUGCUUCAUCUUCUCCAUGGUUGGUCUGUACUACAUCAACAAGAUCUCCUCCACCCUGUACCAGGCAGCAGCUCCAGUCCUCACACCAGCCAAGGUCACAGGCAAGAGCAAGAAGAGAAACUGACCCUGAAUGUUCAAUAAAGUUGAUUCUUUGUA